UUCUUUGCACUCCUGCACCGUUUCUGUUCAAUACAACUUGCUUGCGAUUCAUCUGUCUUCUUGUGUCUGGAUGGGGAUUUAUUUAACACUACACUAAACGACUUUGCCCAUGGUUAAGUCAGGGUGCAGCCUCUCUGCUGUUUAAAUCAGGUGUUGGCCACAGACGGCCUUGAGUGUGGCUGACCAUGUCUCCUCCUUGGCUCACUGAAGCCCUGCACUCCUUUUCUAUCAUCAGCAAACAGGAUGAUUUAACACAAGACAUUUAUGAC